rnacentral:rRNA from 1 species
CCCUAUGGAGCUUAAAUUAAUAUCCACACUUUAUACAAUAACCCCCAGGGCACAACACUACAAUAUCUGGAUACACAAUUUUGGUUGGGGUGACCUCGGAGCACAGACCAACCUCCGAGUAUUUUUACUUAGACCUACCAGUCAAAGCAGACAAACAUCAUAUACAUUGACCCAAAUAGUUUGAUCAACGGAACAAGUUACCCUAGGGAUAACAGCGCA